rnacentral:rRNA from 1 species
GUGCAGCAGCCGCGGUAAUACGGAGGGGGCAAGCGUUAUUCGGAUUUAUUGGGCGUAAAGGGCGCGUAGGCGGCUUGAUAAGUCAAAGGUGAAAUCCCUCGGCUCAACCGAGGAACUGCCUUUGAAACUGUCUGGCUAGAGUCCGGGAGAGGGUGGCGGAAUUCCCAGUGUAGCGGUGAAAUGCGUAGAUAUUGGGAGGAACACCAGUGGCGAAGGCGGCCACCUGGACCGGUACUGACGCUGAGAUGCGAAAGCGUGGGGAGCAAACAGGAUUAGAUA